rnacentral:misc_RNA from 1 species
GAUGAAGAACGUAGCGAAAUGCGAUAAGUAAUGUGAAUUGCAGAAUUCAGUGAAUCAUCGAAUCUUUGAACGCACCUUGCGCCCUUUGGCCAUUCCGAAGGGCAUGCCUGUUUGAGUAUCAUGAACACCUGAACUCUCAUGGCUCGCCAUGAUGAGCUUGGAUUUGGGGGUCUUGCUGGCCUGUGGUCGGCUCCUCUCAAAUGGAUCAGCUUGCCAGUGUUUGGUGGCAUCACAGGUGUGAUAACUAUCUGCGCUUGUGGUUUUCCAUCAGAUAACCUUCAGUGAUGGAGGUUCGCUGGAGCUCAUAAACGUCUCCCCUAAGCGGGGACAGCCCUUUGAAUGUUUGAUCUCAAAUCAGGUAGGACUACCCGCUGAACUUAAGCAUAUCAAUAAGCGGAGGA